CAUCCAAGAUAAUCUUCUCAAGCAUGAUGACAUUCUUCGGAAUUGGUGGUGCAAGUUGGUAUCAUUUUGGACCAUUUGCAAACAGACGAUCACGUUGCGACAAGACAAAUCAGUAAGUUGCGUCGCGAUAAGGAACCCUUGAAAUCGAGACGUCAAUCCAAUAUUUUGCAAAUUUUACAAUUUAGUCCUAAUUUGACCUCGAGUUAGCAAAAGAGUUUUCAUAACCUCAUAUAAGACUCGAAAUGAUUAUAUAUCAUACUAUGAUUGUGUAAUAUAUUUAUUUGCAGGUUUAAAUGGUUACAUUAUGUAUUUAAUUGAUCGUAUUUGCUUCGACAA